rnacentral:rRNA from 1 species
GAUGAACGCUGGCGGCGUGCCUAAUACAUGCAAGUCGAACGCAUAGCGAAAGGUGCUUGCACCUUUCAAGUGAGUGGCGAACGGGUGAGUAACACGUGGACAACCUGCCUCAAGGCUGGGGAUAACAUUUGGAAACAGAUGCUAAUACCGAAUAAAACUUAGUGUCGCAUGACACAAAGUUAAAAGGCGCUUCGGCGUCACCUAGAGAUGGAUCCGCGGUGCAUUAGUUAGUUGGUGGGGUAAAGGCCUACCAAGACAAUGAUGCAUAGCCGAGUUGAGAGACUGAUCGGCCACAUUGGGACUGAGACCCGGCCCAAACUCCUACGGGAGGCUGCAGUAGGGAAUCUUCCCCAAUGGGCGAAAGCCUGAUGGAGCAACGCCGCGUGUGUGAUGAAGGCUUUCGGGUCGUAAAGCACUGUUGUAUGGGAAGAACAGCUAGAAUAGGAAAUGAUUUUAGUUUGACGGUACCAUACCAGAAAGGGACGGCUAAAUACGUG